GAGGGUAUAGCUUAGUGGUAGAGUGCAUUCUUAGUCCACACGAGGUCCUGGGAUCAAUCCCCAGUACCUCCA
rfam:Camelus ferus unplaced genomic scaffold scaffold89, whole genome shotgun sequence.